rnacentral:tRNA from 1 species
UAGCUUAAUGAUAGAGCAUGCAUUUCACAUGUGCAAGGCUCUGGGUUCAAUUUCCAG